GGCACAAGGGAGCUUGACUGCGAGACGGACAGGUCGAGCAGGGACGAAAGUCGGGCUUAGUGAUCCGGUGGUUCCGCAUGGAAGGGCCAUCGCUCAACGGAUAAAAGCUACCCCGGGGAUAACAGGCUGAUCUCCCCCAAGAGUCCACAUCGACGGGGAGGUUUGGCACCUCGAUGUCGGCUCAUCGCAUCCUGGGGCUGUAGUCGGUCCCAAGGGUUGGGCUGUUCGCCCAUUAAAGCGGUACGCGAGCUGGGUUCAGAACGUCGUGAGACAGUUCGGUCCCUAUCCGUCGCGGGCGCAGGAAAUUUGAGAGGAGCUGUCCUUAGUACGAGAGGACCGGGAUGGACGCACCGCUGGUGUACCAGUUGUCCCGCCAGGGGCACCGCUGGGUAGCUAUGUGCGGACGGGAUAAGCGCUGAAAGCAUCUAAGCGUGAAGCCCCCCUCAAGAUGAGAUUUCCCACCGCGUCAGGCGGGUAAGAUCCCUCGAAGAUGACGAGGUCGAUAGGUCCGAGGUGGAAGCGUGGCGACACGUGGAGCUGACGGAUACUAAUCGAUCGAGGGCUUAACCUAA
rnacentral:rRNA from 1 species